rnacentral:rRNA from 1 species
UACGUAGGGUGCGAGCGUUAAUCGGAAUUACUGGGCGUAAAGCGUGCGCAGGCGGUUGGUUAAGUCUGAUGUGAAAGUCCCCGAGCUCAACUUGGGAAUGGCAUUGGAAACUGGCUGGCUAGAGUGUGGCAGAGGGGGGUGGAAUUCCGCGUGUAGCAGUGAAAUGCGUAGAGAUGCGGAAGGAACACCGAUGGCGAAGGCAGCCCCCUGG